AUGCUUAUGGUUUGGUGCAUUUUUACGAAAAAUACAACUUUGGUCUUGCCCGCAAGCGUUACUACCGUUUUGCAACUCGUGUGUGACAUGUUUGACAAAAUGAGGGGUUCAUUCAGUUCAGAUGGUGUCCGUUACAGAGGCCGUGAUAGAGAUUUGCAAACAAGUCUUUUGUCCGGAACCUGCACAAAGAUUACAUGGUAUGUACUAAAAGCAUUGGACUUCUAUCUCACUCAUUCUUGA